UCUAUCUAAUUUAUUUAUUUUUUUGUUGAAUUAGUUUUUGUUUUUUUUUCUUUCCUUGUAUCAACACAUUUUUUUUUUGCUAUGGUGAUGCAAACUAUGAUGGUUUGGCUUUGGGGAGUAAAUUUAUUGGUCUUUGCCCUGGCUAGUGUCCCUUAUUCUAAAUUUUUUGACCUUGAUCAAAAUCAUCGUACUCAUAGAGAAAUAUAGAAGGUACCUAUAUUUUCAACUACUGUCCCCUCAUUCUUUUACAUUAUUGGCUUGAGCCAUAGGUGUCAACAACUUUGUAUCUCUAGAUAUGUGCAAAAACCUUUUCCCCCCAUAAUCAACUUUUGGCACAUGGCAAAAGACAUCACGUGCUGGGUUGUUAAUAUUGGUAAAACAAAGAAAACUUACCCUAUCCUGUUAAAUAACUAUUUAUAGUUUGGUUUUGUUUGUUUAGUCUGCCUAAGUGAAGUUUUAAUUCUUUACCGGAUGUUUGUGACUUUGGUGUUCAAGAAUUGUCAGUGUGAAUGCAUAUGUUGUUCGCCCUCAUAUGGAGGUUUGAUUUCCCACCCUUCAUGGUGCUGAUCAUUGUCAUCCUCAACGAUGAUUUGUAUUUUGUCACACUUCACUUACCUUUUCUUACUUGUAGAUUCAUGCAUAUUUCUUGUCAUUAGCCUCGAUUUGUGUAUGUGUGUGUGUGUGUGUGUGUGGUUCUAAAUACAUACUAACUAUAUGGCAUGCCAGGUACCGUCAUGACAAUAUAAAAGGAUAGGGUGAAACCAUCUCCUCAGCCUGAUAGCUAGAAGCUGGCAGAAAUUUUUGUAACUGGAGUCAUUCUUGGUGAUUACUUGGCCAUGAUGAUAGUCAUUUUCUUCUGGACAGCAUACAAGACAAACGUUUUUCCUGUCAAUGAGCAGAAAUCAAUGAAAGGCAUGUAUGACAUUACCCAUGUCUGUCUAGAGACAAUUUUAAGACUGGUAAAACCUCUUCAAAGCCUUAGAAUAGCACUAUUUGCUAUUGAUGAAGUCCAUUGUGUUUCUAAGUGGGGUCGUGAUUUUUGACCCAAUUACAGG